GCCAGGAUGGCUCAGUGGUUGAGCAUCAACCUAUGAACCAGGAGGUCAGGAUUCGAUUCCCUGUCAGGGCA
rnacentral:tRNA from 1 species